GUYUUUUUGUUUAAAAUUUAAAGUCGGGCCUGCCCACUGAAAUUUUAAAUGGCCGUGGUAUUUUGACCGUGCUAAGGUAGCAUAAUCAUUAGUUUUUUAAUUGAAAGCUGGAAUGAAGGGUUUGAUAAAAAAAUAACUGUCUCUAUUUAAUUUUAUUAAAAUUUUAUUUUUAAGUUCAAAAGCUUAAUUAUUGUUAAAAGACGAGAAGACCCUAUAGAGUUUAAUAAUAAAAAAUAAUUUUUAUUUAAGAAUUAAUUUAUUUAUUAUUUUAUAUUAUUUAGUUGGGGUGAUUAAAAAAUUUAAUAAACUUUUUUUAUAUUUAACCAUUAAUUUAUGAUUAUUUGAUCCAAUUUUUUUGAUUAUAAGAUAAAAUUACCUUAGGGAUAACAGCGUAAUUUUUUUAGAAAGUUCAAAUUAAAAGAAAAGAUUGCGACCUCGAUGUUGGAUUAAAAUUUAAUUUUGGUGUAGAAGCUAAAAAUUUUAAGUCUGUUCGACUUUUAAAAUUUUACA
rnacentral:rRNA from 1 species